rnacentral:rRNA from 1 species
AUUUAACGCUGGCGGCAGGCCUAACACAUGCAAGUCGAACGAGUGGCGGACGUUUGAGUAAUGUCUGGGAAACUGCCCGAUGGAUUGGGAUCACUACUGGAAACGGUAGCUAAUACCGCAUACCAUCUGAUGUGCCCAGAUGGGAUUAGCUAGUAGGUGGUGGAACGGCUCACCUAGGCGACUAUCCCUAGCUGGUCUGAGAGGAUGACCAGAGACAAGGGAAGUGAGAAAAGGUCCAGACGCCGACGGGAGGAAGCAGUGGGGAAUAUGGCAGAAUGGGAGCAAGCCUGAUGCAGCAAUGGCGAGUGUAUGAAGAAGGCCGUCGGGUUGGAAAGUAAUGUAAGAGAGGAGGCGUUACUCGCAGAAGAAGCACCGGCUAACUCCGUGCCAGCAGCAGCGGUAAUUC